rnacentral:rRNA from 1 species
GACGAACGCUGGCGGCGUGCUUAACACAUGCAAGUCGAACGGAAAGGCCCUGCUUUUGUGGGGUGCUCGAGUGGCGAACGGGUGAGUAACACGUGAGUAACCUGCCCUUGACUUUGGGAUAACUUCAGGAAACUGGGGCUAAUACCGGAUAGGAGCUCCUGCUGCAUGGUGGGGGUUGGAAAGUUUCGGCGGUUGGGGAUGGACUCGCGGCUUAUCAGCUUGUUGGUGGGGUAGUGGCUUACCAAGGCUUUGACGGGUAGCCGGCCUGAGAGGGUGACCGGCCAAAUUGGGACUGAGAUACGGCCCAGACUCCUACGGGGGGCAGCAGGGGGGAAUAUGGCACAAUGGGCGGAAGCCUGAUGCAGCAACGCCGCGUGCGGGAUGACGGCUUCGGGUUGUAAACCGCUUUCGCCUGUGACGAAGCGUGAGUGACGGUAAUGGGUAAAGAAGCACCGGCUAACUACGUG